rnacentral:lncRNA from 1 species
AUGGGGGCGUCGCGCUCGUCCCAGGGGGAGCAGCGUGGACGGGGGCGUCGCGCUCGUCCGGGGAGCAGGUGUCAGGGUGCCGAGGCUGGAAUCCCGGAAGGCAAGCUUCUCGGGCUCAGGGCUUUGUGGUCUGCCCCCAUCCCGGGGCAGCGAGCUCCCUGCCAGCUGCUGGGUCCUCCCUUGCACCCUCGUGGAUUCACUGUGGGGGACCCAACGGCUGGAGGGCUUCGCCCCAGCCUCUGGAAACGUCUGUUUUCCUACCGGAGAAAGUGUCCGUCCUCUUCCCAGAGGCGCUGGCACCUGUGCUGGGAGCCCCCUCCCUCGAUGAGGCCCUGGACCCGCUGGCCCGGCGGCCCUUCCCUGCCGUGCGCCCGAUGCCGACCCGUACUCACGCCUGCGGUCUGCGGUCUGCGGUCUGCGGUCUGCGGACGGGUCACCCCGCUUCCCUCCCGCUGCUGCUCUCCUCUGCGUGUUCUCUCGGUCUCUCCACGCCUUUCUCACCUGUCUCUGUCAUUCCCGUCUCCGGUGUGUGCUGGCCCAGGGGCUCGGGCCGGUGGGCGUGAGUUUAGGUGGUGGCCUCUACUCAUCAGGCAGGUGCCACAGGCCCGGGCGCCUGGAGAAGGACGGAACGUUUGGGCUAGGACCAAGCCUCAGGCCCAGGGUGGAGGCGGGCGUUCGGCCGCUGGAGGGGCAGCGAGAGCCCAGGAGAGGGGCCUGGCUCGUGCGGCCCGACGGGCUCUGCCCGCUGUGACUGUGACCGGGGGUCCCUGCGUGUGGUGCCCUGCCUGGCGGGCCAGCUGGGCUCAGGAGCUGCACCCGAGGGCUGGGCAGGAGCGGGGUCCCCAGGAGGAGCCGCGUUUGUUGGUGAUGAAAGGUCCGCAGAGACCUGGCACCCAGACUCCGUGUGGACCCCACGCCCGAGGCCCCCAGGCCGCCCUGGGCCUCCCUCCCCUGUGUGCCUGGCCUACCGCCGCCCCGCUCCUCCCUGGGCGGUCACAUGCCUGGCGGGUGUGUGUGAACCACCCCGUCCAUCCCACCCAGGCUGGGCACUCAGUGCCGUGUGUUUACACUGGCCCAUCGUGGCCACCAAGCCUCCUUCUGGGGCCCGCCCCACCCCCAGGUCUGGACCUGCUUCAUCAGGACCCCUCCCCAGGAGGCCUCGCCGGGGAGGCUUCCCUUGGAGCUCUGCAAAGAGGGCCUGCCCCCCGCUCAUGUCCCCUCUGGGCUGCGGCCGGGCGGGCGGGACCAGCCCCCGACACGCUCCCUCGGAGCCCUGGCACCGCAUGGCUGGAGCUCCCAAAGCCUCUCUGGCCACCAUCGCUCUCGCUAUCUGUCCGUGAGAAUAAGUUCAGAGCUGGAUGUCCUGCUUCACCCAAAGAUGCAUGUUUCCCUGAAGUGUGGCCAGCAGGCCCCCGGCCCUUCAAGGCUCCCCUGCGUCUGUCCCUCACGUCGGCUCCCCCGACGCCUCGCCGGCCUCUCAGCCACACGCAGCGUCUUCAGGGCCCGCAGCCUGCUUCCCAGUCACUUGGGGCACUGACGUUCGAAUCCUCGUUGGUCUCUGCCCUUCGGUUUUCAAACCUGCACGUGCUUGCCCUUCCCUGAGGACAAGUUUGGUCGAGCACCUUCUCAUAUGGGGCCUUUUAUUUUAAAAUACGUGAGGAUUCACUUUCUGAGAUCAGGAAAUCGGGAGACUGUUGGUGCCCUGAGUUAAUGAUGCUUCGUACGUGAUGGGAACUGUUUGUGCCUAAUCCAGGGACAAGUAACUCCUUAAAAAUGCCCGGGCUGGGCUGUGAGAGCAUACUCAGCCCCGGUGGCUGUAGGCCUCCAGCAUCCCGGAGGGCUAACCCCAGAGCCACAGGUCAGACCACAGGUCGCCACGGAGACGUCGCUCUUGCUGGACCGGACACUUGGGGAGCUGACCUGGCCCACCCUGGCUGAGGGCCAGGCCAGAGCUGUUCGAAGCCCCAGGCACACUCCUCCCUGCCUUCCUGGGGGGUGGGGGGUCCUGGUGAGCUGGGACUCCCACCCGAGUGAGCAGGUGGAAGCCCCACGGACCCUCCACCUUGGACUCUGAAAGGGCAUCGCGGAUGUAUUUUGACAGAAAACAAACGGAAGCCUUGGGUGUGGACGUUCAACCCGAUGUAAACAAGGAAGCGAAUCAGCUCGUGAUGGACUUAGUGGACUUCGAAGCCUAGGGCCUCUGGCCAGCUUUGGACCCCUUCUCAGGAGCCCUGCUCAGCCUCCUGACUCCUCGCGGCAAGGUGCAAGGUCACCGGCGAGGCAGGAGCCGGCCCCCGAAGCUGAACGCCAGGCCCCUUUGACCCUGGCCACCACCACCUGGGGUGGGUUUCCAGGGUUACAGGGUUCACUCUGCGUCCCGCCAGCCCCGCCCCGUAUGUGUUCCCUGCCCCGAGUGGGGCAGCAAACGCAGGUACUCAGAGGCCCUUCCCGAAGACAGGACGGGCCAGAGGCUGCCCACGACGCGUUACGAAAUCCUCGUCCUAAAGAGAGAGUCAGUUUGCCAAAGGAAGGAAGUUUGCUGCCGGAGUCUGAUUGUGUUAAGAUGAAGCGGUGUANNNNNNNNNNNNNNNNNNNNNNNNNNNNNNNNNNNNNNNNNNNNNNNNNNNNNNNNNNNNNNNNNNNNNNNNNNNNNNNNNNNNNNNNNNNNNNNNNNNUUUGCUGCCGGAGUCUGAUUGUGUUAAGAUGAAGCGGUGUAAAGAUGAAAGAGUGGCCCCCCCCACCCCCCACCGACUCUCUGAUGCUGCCCAGACCAAGCGGAACUGGGGGGACGGCUCUGUGGGCAGAGAUUCCAGUGCAGGACGGGGGGUCCUUCCCCUUUGUCCUUGUGUACAGCUGAGCUGGGUCUCCAGACGGCUGAGCCGUGAGCUCAGCAAGGGGCCAUUCCCACUGUCCCCUGACCGGGCAGCGGGCUCUGUGGCCCGGGGCCCUGAGCACCCCCUCCCGCCCCAGGUGCCCGGCCCCUCCCAACCUCCCCCCUGCACCCCUACUGCCUCAAACGGCCCUGUGACGGGUCACAGCCUGGAGUUUCCAUGCACGUUUGGGCCACAGGAAGGCUGGGCUCGGUGGUUAACUGAGGCUCUGUGCAGACACAGAGUGGGUCUGUGGAGGAGCCGGGUGGCCCCUGACCCUGACCCUGACCCUGAGCUAGUGGGCGGGGCAACCCCACUUCCCGUCCCAGACCACAGAAGGGGCAGGCGGGCAGCUCACUUCCUUCUCAACCAGCCUCGGCCCCUCGAGUGCAGGUUAAAGAAGUGAGUGUCUCCCCCCAGCACCCACCGUCCACGGGGGGCCACGUGACACACACCGCGGGCCUCGAGGUGGCUGGAAACUGCUUGGGGAUUCUCCGCUCUCUCCGGGGCAGCCAGCGGCCACUGAACGUGGAGGAGUCGUGUCUGUUUGUCUGAAUGGACCGUGCAGGCCACCCUGCUUUGAAACCUGAACUGCUGCCCAGGGGAACGUCUCCGUGACAUGCUUAUCCUGGGCAGCGGAAGCUGGCCUCGAGGAGCCCAGGGUCCAUGCUCGACAGACAGUGUGGGCAGCGUGAAACCUGGCCUCCCAGCCUCCUCGCAGCUGCGUGUCUCACACCCGACGCGUGUUCCAAACAAACGCAAUGUAACGGCCGUGAUCCACCACGUCUGGAAUUAGAAACACUUCACGUUCUCUUGGCACAAUCAUUUCCAGCUGUUUUUCUCCCACAGAAGAAGCAGAGCUGAGAGGUUUCCGUGCACAGGGAGGCCUGCGUCGCCCCGAGCUGCCGUGGGCCGACUGCCAGAGCCCUGGCCCUGAGUGCGAUGGGCGUGAACCCCCGCUCAGUCCCAGACCCGGAGUGCUGCCCGCUCUGUGGGCCCAGCGGGCCAGGGGCGUGGCCCCACCCCCUCCUCGUCUGCACCAAGCAGACUCACAGGGCAGCCGGUGUGGCGGCGGCAGGUCCACAGACAACAGCCGGGUUCUGGGACUUGCCGUGCGUCUAACACAGCACCUGCUCCCGCGUGCCUGACUGCGGGAUGGAGGCUCGGCCACGCGGAGGGCGGAGGGCGUUUCGCUCCCUCCGUGGAGCUCUCUCCCAGGCCUCAGUGGCCCAAAUCUCCAGCCUGUGAGGGGCCUGUGUCUUAAUCCGGGUAUAGACUUAAGCCAUUUGCCAGUGACCAGCAUGAGUCGUGAGUGCCUGUAGAGUAAUCUCCAGGACACCCAGGCCUUCAGACACCAAACACGGGAUGUCAGUCCUGCNNNNNNNNNNNNNNNNNNNNNNNNNNNNNNNNNNNNNNNNNNNNNNNNNNNNNNNNNNNNNNNNNNNNNNNNNNNNNNNNNNNNNNNNNNNNNNNNNNNCCUGCGGUAGCAGCCAGGAAGCGCUAAGAUGCAGGUCCUGUGGGCCCAGCACCCUGGCCCCGCCCACCGACGCCCCAGCACCUCACAGGCCCCUGUCCGUGUCUGUGUUCCCAGGAGUCUUGCUAAUCCUUUGUUUCUGGCCAAUGCCUCCAGGCUGUGGCUGGGGCGCUGCCGGCCCUGGUCUAGGACUUGCAGGCGUUGGCGUCAGGCUGUGGACGGGCUCGGAGCCCUGCUCAGGGUCAGUGUCUGGCAGGGGUGAGGCGCCAGGUGUGUGUGUCUGGACCCACUGUGGUGGCCAGGUUUCCAUUCUGACCAGCGAGUCCUUGUGUAGACAGCAGGCGAGGGCCCCGGGGAUGGCCUAGGCCACUUCCAGGACAUGGCUGUGCGCUUGCAGACCAAAGCAGCCGGCUCCCUGAGCAGCUGUCCCGGGGCCGUCCUCAGCCCCGGCGCUGCUCUGCACCCCCGGCCUCCCUUCUGCCUGCCCGCCCCUCUCUGUCCCUGCGUCCCCCUGUCCAUCCCUGCGCCUUUCUGCGUGCCUCUGACACACAUCACACGUUAAAUACUCAUGACUCACUCCGCACACAGCUCUCUGUGCGCUGAGAAACAAGGGUUUCUAUGCAGGAAAGCGGAGCCCCCUUGUGGGGCCCGCGAGCGCUGGUCCCCUCGAGGUCCGCGGUGGGGCUGAUCCAGCCGAGGCGCGGGGGGCGGUCCCCGGUGACUGCGUGUCCGUCUGCUCUGCCCUCCCGCAGAUGAGAUCAUGCACCA